GAUGAAGAACGUAGCGAAAUGCGAUAAGUAAUGUGAAUUGCAGAAUUCAGUGAAUCAUCGAAUCUUUGAACGCACCUUGCGCCCUUUGGCCAUUCCGAAGGGCAUGCCUGCUUGAGUAUCAUGAACACCUCAACUCUUUAUGGUUUUCCAUGAUGAGCUUGGACUCUGGGGGUUUUGCUGGCUCACAGUCGGCUCCUCUAAAAUGAAUCAGCUUACCAGUGUUUGGUGGGUAUCAUGGGUGUGAUAACUAUCUACGCUUGUGGUUUUUCCACCAGGUAACCUUCAGCAGUGGAGGUUCGCUGGAGCUCAUAGAUGUCUCUCCUCAGUGAGGACAGCCCUUUGAAUGUUUGAUCUCAAAUCAGGUAGGACUACCCGCUGAACUUAAGCAUAUCAAUAAGCGGAGGA
rnacentral:misc_RNA from 1 species